UAAGACCUACAUGGACUUACGUUACACUAGUGCUUUCAACACUAGGAGCCUUGAAGGCCUUUUCUGGAGGAAGGCAGUUGGAUGUAAAGAAACAAGCAUCUUCUGGAGAUGAAGAUACUCUUCAGCACUUGAAUAAAAUGAGAAAAGAAAUUGAGCAAACUUGCAACGGCUUCAGAUAAGGAUUGGCAGGAACUAAUACUAACAUAUUAUACUAAUAAAAGUUGAAACUCUGCUCUGUAGGUCAGCCU